ACAAUGGUGUUUUUCAACACCACCAACCAAAGUUCCAUAAAGAGGAAAU
rfam:Picea glauca, whole genome shotgun sequence.